UAUUAGGUUGGUGCAAAAGUAAUUGCAGUUUUUACCAUUAUUUCUCAUGCAAAAACUGCAAUUGCUUUUGGGCCAACCUAACAUUU
rnacentral:miRNA from 1 species